rnacentral:misc_RNA from 1 species
GCGGCUUUGACCAUCAUAUGUCUCGCGGGGCGCCUGCGCUUGACAGGAAUCGGUUUAUCGCACCCUUUUCCUUAUUCACCCCUUAAUCUGGACCCCUCCUGCCAUGGCAAGACGAGUUGUCGACGUCCUUGUCCCGGUGGCCCUGAACCAGACCUAUUCCUAUCGCGUUCCCGACGGCGUCGAGCUGAAUCCCGGAGACGACGUGGUGAGUGUUCCGCUGGGCGCGCGGGAUGUCACGGCGGUGGUCUGGGCGGACAA